UACGUAGGGGGCUAGCGUUGUCCGGAAUCAUUGGGCGUAAAGCGCACGUAGGCGGUGCCGUAAGUCGGAUGUGAAAUCCCUCGGCCUAACCGAGGAACUGCGUCCGAUACUGCGGUGCUUGAGGAUCAGAGGGGUGCAUGGAAUUUCCGGUGGAGCGGUGAAAUGCGUUGAUAUCGGAAGGAACUCCGGCGGCGAAAGCGAUGCACUGGCUGAUUUCUGACGCUGAGGUGCGAAAGCCAGGGGAGCAAACGGG
rnacentral:rRNA from 1 species